GACAUUGUUCACUAUGGGUCAAAUCUUCUAGAAGUUGGCAAAAGGUGAUUUUAUUCCUUUUCUCUCAUUUUCUUUAUGUAUAAGUGUCGCUUUUUGUCUCUCCCACACACAAUAAGAUUCUUGUCUCAUUCACUUGUUAGGCUUCUCAUUUUCUUUAUUGUUUUGGUCAUUUGGACUGCACACAACUAAGUAGAAGUAUCCAAAUGUUGAAACGGUGAAGUGCGAGGGACAUUAGUAAUUGCAAAAACAUGACUCUAUAAGUAUAUAUUGAGUGUUAUAUAUACUUAGACAUGGCUGGACUUGACAAGUGAAUUUUAUUUUCAAAAUUUACAGAAAUUUACAUGAAAUAUUAUAAAAAUAAAUUUGGACUGUAUAUACAAUUAUAGAAGCAAUCAGUUUUGACAUUGUACCAUUGGUGGCAAAAUCUUACUUGGUUCCUGUAUUUGUUACCUCAAUGAAGUAACUAGUUAUUAUUUAGGAAGUGGAAAAUCUCUGGGGUACUAUCAUUCACUCUGUUAACUUCUAUUUGGAAAGCAUAACUUUUAUCUGGAAAAUCAAUGAAGACUCAUAAGGUUAUAAGACCUUUUGUAAAACUAAGGUUCUUGACUUUACCAACAAUCAUGUCCAACGAAAUAUAGGAUGCUCCAGAAACCCAAGAAGUGUAUGUGCAUUGUGCACCUUCCAUGGUUUAAAAAUAUCCCUUCCAGCAGUGCACCUCAGGAAGAACCUUUAUGAGGCGUACACUUCUACUGAUUGAAAUUGAAUUGGCCCUGAUUAUAAAAGAAUUAGAGAGAGCCUUCUUGAAAUUGUGUUGAUCUUCUGUAACCUACUUGUCUAGAGUUUUCUUUAUUGACUGAUGAGGGUCCCUUGCAAGUGUUUUAAGCAUUUUCUUUUCUUUUCCUUUUUUUCCCUUUCCAUUUUGUUAAUUUUGUACAUGUUCUUUCUCUCUCAGAAAAGGUGUUGCGUGAGUGCUAGAAAUAUAGUUGAUUUGAGUUUGAUGGUUUUGGCUAGGGAGUAAAAUUGCACAUACUAAUUUUAUUUAUUUAUUUAUUUUUAUAUUCAGAGAAUGUGUGUGUUGGGAUAAGGGUGCGGGGUUGGGACAAGGGAGAAAUUCUCAUAGAUUCUUUCUAUAUCUAUUCAGAUUUUAUUACAAUUUCUUUCUUUACCCCGUUCUGUUAUUUUAUUUAAACAAAUAGAUCAUACAUGGUGAAGGAUCUGUUAAAAGGUAAUUGUUGGGAAGGUGCAAUAAGGAUUUCAAAAAUGAUAUAUAUUGAUUACUGAAAGAACAGAAAACAUACAUAAAGAGCUUGCCAUCUUCUGUAAAGAAGCUGUUGCAGUGCUAUUCUAAGUAUUUCAUUCAACUUUUUUAUAUUUCUUUAAUAUGACAUAUUCCACUCUUAUUAUUGAUCGUAUUAGCUGUCACAAUGUUAGGGUAGUAAUAGCACUGACUAACUGAACUUACUAUAUUGAACUUCUUGUACUUAUUCCCUGUUCCCUACAAAGAACUAGUCUUUAGAAAUAAAAGUUCGGAAAUUAUAUACAUUUCUUCAGGGAAAUAUUGCCUCUAACAAGAUGGCUACAUUGGCAGGAGAGGUGGCUGCUUAUCUCUCUCUUUUUACUUGAAUAAUAUCUAGAGAAGGGAAAAUUAUGAAUACACGGGCAUUCUACAUGUUAGGAACAUUUGCAAGAGAAGGUGCUUGUGCGUCAUUAGUAAAAUUGCUUGAUUCACAGCCAUUCCAUUUUCUUCUAAAUAUUUGUAUAUUUUACCAUAGUUUGCAGAUGUUAAGAUUUUGAAAUGAAGGUUUUGAUCUUUUUGGAAGUCUUAUUUUAAUGUUAUUAUGUCUAUGAUGCUCUUCCAUCAACCUUUCUAAUUCUCUCUCACCCAUCUUUGAAAAUGAAGAAACAAGGCUUUAAGCCUCAAGAAGUUAACUGACUCUCUUAUCCCUUUCCUUCCAGGCUAGCAAGUGUCCUUACAAUCACAGACACAUAAAAGAAAGUAUCUUUUUAACUGGAGACGGGGAUGGGGAGUGUCUUUAAGUGCCCAUUGUUUUGUAUAACUGUACAUAUCAGUCUGUAGCACUGCAACCAGUAUGUAUAAGAAUCUGUAAUAUAGAACUUAAGUACCCAAUUAACUUUAAGAAGUCGGAAUAAUCCUUUGGAAAGCUUUAUAGUUUUCAGGCCUAAUGAUCUUUCAAACAUUAAUCUGUUUCUCCUCUGUCCUUUUACAUGUGAACUGUUCUCUUGAAUGACAUUUAUUUUACCUUUCCUUUUCAACACCGUUAUCUUCAUUUUUAUAAAGUAAAAAAUUUUGCCAAUCACUACCUUCCUUCUCUUGCUAUGGGCAGCCUGAGAUUUUUAAGGCUAUCUCUGUUUAUGCACAUGCUGAAAAUUUUAAUUGCAUUGUGAACUCCUGAUAUUUACUACUUCAAUUUAAAAAAAAAAAAAAAAAAAAUGGGAUUCCUUUGUUGUUCCAUGUGUUAAAGCUUAUGUGGGACCCAAUUAGCAUUUGUUACAUUCUCGCUUUAGUGUUCCUUAAUAGUACUUAUAAUUCUGAUAUUUGUUUCUUGUAUAAGAUUGAUAGAUGCUCUGGAGAUGAUGAAGCAAGGUGUGAAGCGACUCCUUAUUCCCAAAAGCAUAGUCUGGAGAGGCAUGAGCAAGCGCUUCUCAGUUCUAUACAAUGGAAAAUGGCUCAAGAACAUCGAGACUUCUAGUGGCAAUAACACAAACCCUAUUGCCAACACUAACCUUCCAUCGUCAUCAUCUUCCACCGACAUCAUUCAGGACAAGUUUUGUUGUCUGUCAAGAGAAGAUGUUCUACGUUUCAUCAUUGGUUGCCUUGGUGCCUUGGCUCCUUUACCACUUUCCUCAAUUGCUUCCCUUGGAAUCAUCAAUCCAAACUACUGCUCUAUUGAAGCAUCUUUCCCAGCCAUUGAUGCCACCAAAAAUCGUCCCCAUGAUCCAUGUGCAGUUGCUGUUGUGGAGCCAACGUCAGAUGGUCAAUAUAACAUCAUCGGUGAAAUAUCUGCCUCUAAACUAUGGAAAUGUGAUUACUUAGCUGCAUCAUGGGCACUUGCUAAUCUCUCUGCUGGACAGUUUGUUAUGGGGGUUGAAGAUAACCUGACAUCAAGAUCACUUCCUGAUAUUGCGCUUAAUCAAAUGGUCGGGGAAUCGAAUUUAGGUAAUGGAGGAAUCCCAGCCAGGCAAAAAAAAUUCAGCAGCAGAAGUAUUGGGUUCUUUAGCAAUGCCGCAAAUUCAAGUUUUGGGGUUGGUAGGAGCAUGUAUCGGGGUAGAAGUGCACCAUUAACGUGUAAAGUUACUAGUUCGCUGGCUGCAGUAAUGGCUCAAAUAUUAUCUCACCGGGCAACACAUGUUUGGGUUACAGAGGCUGAAAACGAUGACAUAUUAGUUGGUGUCGUAGGUUAUGCUGAUAUCUUGGCUGCAGUUACCAGACAACCGGUUCCAGCCGUUUCGGAAAGCCAGCCAUCUUGAGUUUUUGCCAGCCCAUAUUUCUGCAAGAAUUUUGGGAUAGUUGUGCUUGUUUAUGCAUUGCAUUGAUUUGUCUUGGUAAUGUUACAACUUAAACAGAAGUUUAAUGUUGUGUAAGUUGAAGUGAUUCUGAGAAUGACAUAUACCUAAAACAUAUUAGCCUGCGUCUGGGGUUUUCAGUCAGUCUUUAGUUAAAAAUUGUAUGGCCAAACUUUAAACAAACUUUGGGGAUGAGAGAUGCAAUUAUGUCUUUCCCCGUUGAACUUACAAAAGGUGCAUUUGUGUUGUAAAUAUUAUUCUUUUGGGAAUAAUAUAGGGUGUAUUUACAAUUUAUAUAUUAAACAAUAAAAG
rnacentral:lncRNA from 1 species